CACCUCCACUCAAUCACACAAACAUAAGAGUAUAUUUAGAGUUACCGAGCAGAAUGAAAUCACAGAGAGAUGAGAGCCAAUUUUGAGUCAGGGUCAAGCUAGUAGUGAUGUGUAUGUGUUUAUGUUGCCAGUGCGAUAUCAGCUCUCUAGAUGUUACAAGUUUACAACUAUGUGAAGAAGGAUAUCCAAGGACUCACCUCUCUUAGAAAUUUUGUCACUUGACUUUGGCACUGAUGGUGUGAAGAAUUGCUAGAUUCAUUUCCAGAGAAGGGGAAUUUAUUCAGUACUCUCACUUAUCUCAGACUCUACUUCUUAAUCUUAAGAAAAUGGACAUUGUCAAGUGGUUUUGACAUCUCAACUCGCUUGAAACUUUGAAGAGUCUGUAUUACUCAUCUCAGUUCGAAAAUAUUUUGAGGUUAAUUUUUGGGCCUCCUGGAACACACCUUCUCAGAGAGCGAACCAGAAAGGAGCGUUACAUUAAUCAGCAAAGAAACUUGGUUUCGCGUGGCAAACAAUAACACAUGAUCAAACAAUGUUGCGCCUUGAAUGAUACUUCACUUACUCAUGACCUGUAAGAUUCUUUCCUUUCCAUAUCAGUCAAUUGAUAAGUACUGUUACGGGCAUUUUUAUUUGGACUGCUGAUAAAUUCAUGUCAAAGAAAAUCAGACAUGGUCUUAAAAUUAAAUGAAUAACAGUAUUCUAGUUCCCAUUGGACUUUACAGCUGUGAGAGGUAACUUCCUUGCUGGAAUUUCUAUGCCUUGAAGGAGGGAUGACUGACAAGCUGUGGAUCCUCUUCUGAUCAAAGCUGCUAGAGUUUUUUUCCUGGGCUCUCCGGAGUUAUACAAUGCUGCCAGCCUGCAACUAAGGCAUGUCACAGCAAGGAAAUUCUUUGGCAGACUAUCAACUCACUGACCCUUUAGGACAUUCUGGAGGCCCACGGGAGGUGUCUACGUUGUUGUUACUUCAUUUAUUUACUUAUAGGCCCUCAGAUAGCCGGGCAAACUUUUCAAGGAGCAGACAUAGAAAUAGUACAAAGAGGCGUUUUGCAGUUUGCAGUAUGUAUUACCUCUAUCUACACCGGAAGAUACUAGUAUUAAACAGUAGUAUGGUACUAGACUACUAGAUACAUGAAUUCAGCAGCAACUAGUUCUGCCUAUUCUAGAAAAGUAGUAGAUUAUCAAACUUUAUUGUUUUUGUAUAAAUGAAUUGAGAUAUUUGAUUUU